GACGAACGCUGGCGGCGUGCUUAACACAUGCAAGUCGAACGGAAAGGCCCUGCUUUUGUGGGGUGCUCGAGUGGCGAACGGGUGAGUAACACGUGAGUAACCUGCCCUUGACUUUGGGAUAACUUCAGGAAACUGGGGCUAAUACCGGAUAGGAGCUCCUGCUGCAUGGUGGGGGUUGGAAAGUUUCGGCGGUUGGGGAUGGACUCGCGGCUUAUCAGCUUGUUGGUGGGGUAGUGGCUUACCAAGGCUUUGACGGGUAGCCGGCCUGAGAGGGUGACCGGCCACAUUGGGACUGGGAUACGGCCCGGACUCCUACGGGAGGCAGGGGUGGGGAAUAUUGCACAAUGGGCGGAGGCCUGAUGCAGCAACGCCGCGUGCGGGAUGACGGCCUUCGGGUUGUAAACCGCUUUCGCCUGUGACGAAGCGUGAGUAACGGUAAUGGGUAAAGAAGCACCGGCUAACUACGU
rnacentral:rRNA from 1 species